rnacentral:rRNA from 1 species
GAUGAACGCUGGCGGCGUGCCUAAUACAUGCAAGUCGAGCGAACAGACGAGGAGCUUGCUCCUCUGACGUUAGCGGCGGACGGGUGAGUAACACGUGGAUAACCUACCUAUAAGACUGGGAUAACUUCGGGAAACCUGAGCUAAUACCGGAUAAUAUAUUGAACCACAUGGUUCAAUAGUUAAAUACGGUUUUGCUGUCACUUAUAGAUGGAUCCGCGCCGCAUUAGCUAUUUGGUAAGGUAACGGCUGACCAAGGCGACGAUGCGUCGCCGACCUGAGAGGGAGAACGGCCACACUGGAACGGAGAAACGGCCCAGACUCCUACGGGAGGCAGCAGUAGGGAAUCUUGCGCGAUGGGGGAAAGCCUGACGGAGCAACGCCGCGUGAGUGAUGAAGGUCUUCGGAUCGAAAAACUCUGUUAUUAGGGAAGAACAAAUGUGUAAGUAACUAUGCACGUAUUGACGGUACCUAAUCAGAAAGCCACGGCUAACUACGUG